rnacentral:piRNA from 1 species
UCAAGACACAUUGCAACGUUGAAUACUGC